GCUCAGUGUAUAAUAUUGUACAAUGGCACUGCAUCAAAGGACAAGUGUAUAAAAACAACCAAAUUAAAACAGCAAUACAAUGAGUCAAGGAAAGAAAUAGUUUCUGUAGAAGCCUGUCCAUUGAGGAACCAUGCUGUUCGUCUGUAUGUGAGAAGUGAGAGAGAAAGGAAAAUGGAAAGAGGAGGUUGGUAGGUGUUUGGCUAAGUGUGAUGCCAGGUGUUUGGGUAAGGGUGUUGCUAGGUGUUUGGUUAAGGGUGUUGCUAGGUGUUUGGGUAAGGGUGUUGCUAGGUGUUCAGUGUUUGGUUAAAUGUGUUACUGGGUGUUUGGUGUUUGGGUGUUGCUAGGUGUUUGGGUAAGGGUGUUGCUAGGUGUUUGGGUAAGGGUGUUGCUAGGUGUUUGGGUAAGGGUGUUGCUAGGUGUUUGGUUUUUGGUUAAAGGUGUUGCUAGGUGUUUGGUGUUUGGGUAAGGGUGUUGCUAGGUGUUUGGUUAAGGGUGUUGCUAGGUGUUUGGUUAAGGGUGAUGCUAGGUGUUUGGUUAAGGGUGUUGCUAGGUGUUUGGUUAAGGGUGAUGCUAGGUGUUUGGUUAAGGGUGUUGCUAGGUGUUUAGUUAAGGGUGUUGCUAGGUGUUUAGUUAAGGGUGUUGCUAGGUGUUUGGGUAAGGGUGUUGCUAGGUGUUUGGUUUAGGGCACUACAUUAUCCAUGGAAGAGGUCUGUUGGUCUUCAACAAGAGCCCUCUGUCUGGAUCCAUUCUGUCCAUCCAUCUGUUUGUUCAUCAACUACUGGAGGAGAGACCGGAUGGAGAAUCAGAAACACUUCUCUUCUAAAAAAUAUGUCCUCUCAUUUUUCGUUCAAAUCUGUUGCUCAUCUACAGUAGCAGCAAUUAGAGGAUCUUCUAGAAAGACAGAUUUAUUUUGACUUCACUUUACAAACUCGCAUUUGAAUACAGAAUAGUGUUACCCCCCCCCCUCCCUCACCACAGCUAUAAUCGAGGUAACAAACACGUGAUAAUAAUGACAGUGAUCGUAAUAUUCCAUAGUAAUGCUGUAGCAAUUAUAAUAAUAAUAAUAGUCAUUGUAAUAACAAGAUUAAAGAGAGUAAAUGAAGAGAUAUUUACAUGUAGUAAGUGUGGUUGUGGUAAGCAGGGUAUUGCUCAGUAAUCUCUGAACCAUAGCUUGAAGGUUCUGAGGGAGUUUGUAAUUGAGCCUGCUAGAGGUCGACGUCACAGUGUGGUUCCACACACACACACACACACACACGUGCAUGCACGCACGCACACACACACACGCAGCUACUAGGACACAAUAACCUCCUCCCAUUGGCUGCUGUGCCAUUUGUCUGUUUGUGAUUGUAGGGUUUGUACCUGUACUCUUGAGAUCAGGUGAUCAGGUAGACCCGGGUAGAGGGUUCAACUCAACAGGUAGGAACAGAACAGUUGGGUCACCUCCCUUCUUAUUGUGAAGAGUUGGUAGAAGUUAUUUGAAACUCCUGGUUGAAAACGUUCUUGUUUUAGAUUCCAGGGUGACUCCAUCGUCGAAUUUCCAGUUAACCCCUGAAGACAUGUGACCAGGGUCAGGGUUCAAGAUACUGCUAGAAAUUGAGGUAUUUGUAGUUUGAUCGUCCGCCUGAAAGAUGUUUGCACAUUUGUAGGUGGGAGGGGGGCGUGUCCAGAGGGAGGUGUCCUGGUGCUGUGUCCAGAGAUGGCUAUUGACCAAGUGUGAACCUGGAGGUAAGACCAGUCUCAGUCUGGUUGAACCCAGGCCCAUUGUUAAACGAGUGAGUCUCAGUCUGGUUGAACCCAGGCCCAUUGUUAAACGAGUGAGUCUCAGUCUGGUUGAACCCAGGCCCAUUGUUAAACGAGUGAGUCUCAGUCUGGUUGAACAAAAGAACGUCCAGCAAAUUAAAAUGUACAGUAGCGAAGUCUACACAGUCUAUCACACAAUUUUUUACUUAAAAAUCGCACUGUUGGUUAAUGCCUAGUAAGUAAGUAUUUCACUGUAAGGUUGUACUUGUUGUAUUCGGCGCACGUGACAAAUAAACUUUGAUUUGAUUAACAGUAGAGUAGUCUACACCGUCUAACACACUAACAGCAGAGCAGAUGACACAGUCUAUAGGAGUCCCACGCAUCAGCAGAAAAUAUUAAACAGACCAAGAAUAACCAGAAGUGAGGUGUAAAAAUAAUGUGAAGCUGUACUGAGGCUGAAUGAAAACAUCCCUCCCUGUGGAAUGUUCAUGUAGACCGUAGAUAGAUAAUCCUUAGGAACAAUGUCUUCAGGUUGUGGAGAAUCGUUGACGGUGGAAAGAGGAGCAGAUAUCUCUGUCUUUGUGGAGAAUCGUUGACGGUGGAAAGAGGAGCAGAUAUCUCUGUCUUUGUGGAGAAUCGUUGACGGUGGAAAGAGGAGCAGAUAUCUCUGUCUUUGUAGAGAAUCGUUGACGGUGGAACGAGGAGCAGAUAUCUCUGUCUUUGUGGAGAAUCGUUGACAGAGGAAAGUGGAGCAGAUAUCUCUGUCUUUGUAGAGAAUCGUUGACAGAGGAAAGUGGAGCAGAUAUCUCUGUCUUUGUAGAGAAUCGUUGACGGUGGAACGAGGAGCAGAUAUCUCUGUCUUUGUAGAGAAUCGUUGACAGUGGAAAGAGGAGCAGAUAUCUCUGUCUUUGUGGAGAAUCGUUGACGGUGGAACGAGGAGCAGAUAUCUCUGUCUUUGUGGAGAAUCGUUGACGGUGGAAAGAGGAGCAGAUAUCUCUGUCUUUGUGGAGAAUCGUUGAUGGUGGAAAGAGGAGCAGAUAUCUCUGUCUUUGUAGAGAAUCGUUGACAGAGGAAAGUGGAGCAGAUAUCUCUAUCUUUGUGCUCGUAUGUGUGGAGAGGUUUCAACGAUAUAAAAACAAUACGUCAGGAUACAGUGGACAUUACAGGACGUUUGAAACUCAGGCAGAAUUGAAUCUGUGAUUGGGGUUACAGGCAGUGCAGCUUUUAAAGGAAAUGUCCUAUCCAGCCAACAUAUGCAGUAUUUUCUGUGAAUGGGAUCUCUGCCAACGCAGGAACAUUUAUUUUUAAAAGCUGCAAAGUCUAUAACUCAGGCUAUUCAGUGGAUACAUAAAAGUAUUCAAUUUAUUGAUAUGUGAACAGGAAAAAGGCCCCGAGAUAUACAUGGGUCUAGUUUGAGGUUAAACUAAUAGACAAAAGAGAGACGGAACUCUGGGCGUACUAAAAAGCAUGCAAGGACUACGACGAUAUCCAAAGGAAAGAUAGACCUCUGUCUAACUCAAUAAACCACAUACUGUUCUAUAAUAAUUCUGUCCUGAAUAUUUACAUAUUUGUGUAUAAACCUUUAGCAUGGUACAAGAAAAAACCCACAUCUAGCUGGUUAGGCACAUGGAGUUGGAGAGAGAGAGAGGAAGAAAGAGAGAGAGGGAGAAAGAGAGAGAGAGAGAAAGAGCGAGAGAGAGGGAGAGAAAGAGAGAGAGAGAGGGAGAGAGACAGAGACAGAGAGAGAGAAAGAG
ensembl:lncRNA